rnacentral:tRNA from 2 species
GGAAUAGUUGUCAUAGGAAGGACGAGCCUCUUGCUACGAGGUAUUGAAAAAUCUGCUGGUUCGACCCCGGCCUAUUCCG